CCUACGGGUGGCUGCAGUGGGGAAUCUUCCGCAAUGGGCGAAAGCCUGACGGAGCAACGCCGCGUGAUCGAAUGAAGGCCUUCGGGUUGUAAAGAUCUGUUGACAGGGACGAAUAAGCAAUGCAAAUAGUUUUGUGUUUGACGGUACCUGUUUAGAAAACUCCGGCUAACUACCUGCCAGCAGCCGCGGUAAUACGUAGGGAGCAAGCGUUUUCCGGAAUUACUGGGCGUAAAGGGCGCGUAGGCGGUAGCUUAAGUCAGGUGUUAAAACUCCGGGCUCAACCUGGAGACUGCACUUGAAACUGGGUGUCUGGAGGGCAGAAGAGGAAAGUGGAAUUCCUAGUGUAGCGGUGAAAUGCGUAGAUAUGAGGAGGACCACCAGUGGCGAAGGCGACUUUCUGGACUGUACCUGACGCUGAGGCGCGAAAGCGUGGGUAGCGAACGGGAUUAGAUACCCGGGUAGUC
rnacentral:rRNA from 1 species